UGACCUUUGAAUUUCCUGCACUAGUUCUGCCCAUCAACAGGAUUGAUUUCUUAAUUAAUGUAUGGCCUACGAAAUUAUAGGUCAACUUUUGCAUUUCUAUAUUUUAUUUUGGUUUUUAUCCAAAUAAAAUGGUAAGAAUAUGAUCAUAUUUGAUUAAUGUUUAUCUUCUGGGUACAGAGUUCAUUUUUUAUUCUCACACAUUUCUUUCAAUUUUCAGCCAUCGAAUUCAAUAAAUUAAAAAAUAUCCGUAACUAAAAUUAACAAGGGUGUGGAUGGCGAAUUUGAUACCAAAUUAGGUUGUCCAUUGUGUGGUUUAGCCAAACUCUUCAUCCUCUAGUGUUAAAAUAUUGAUGUACUCAAAAAAAAAAAAAAAAAAAAAAACAACAAGGUUUUAUGUAGUAAGUAAAAAAUAAAAGUGUAAAUAAUACCUUCCUAUCUUUUACCCCUAAACCUUUAUGUUAUAAGACUAUAUAUUGUUAGAUAUGUAAAGUUAUUGUUUCAUAUGCGCAUAACUCAAAGAUGGCCAUGGAGGCGAUCUCCAUCUUCCACAUCGAUGUUUAUUUAAGGGGCUUCGCUUCUGCCGACUUGAAACAGGGGGAGUUGAAGCUCAAGGUUUCAAAAGCCCCCAGGUGGAUACACCUUGAUAGGGUGCAACUAUUGCAGAUGCUAUUUGGACGAAGUGAUUGACAAGCGUGCCUUGCUUUUGCUAUGAAAAUGAAUCAACAAUGGUUUCCUUCUCGGCUUAAUUGUGUUUUGUGUAUAAUUCUGCUGCUAGGGGCUUGUGUGGCCUCGCUUCUUAGUGAUAGUUUUGUGUGUUCAUGGGUUUUGGAUUUGCCAACACCAAUAUAUUGUGGCAAAUCUAUAUCGAUGUUUCUUGUGUGUUACAUUGUUCAUUGUAGUUGCCAUAUAGGGGGUUAACUAAGUUUGCUUAUAGUGGCCUUAUUAUCUCUAGAUCAAAGAUUUGAACAAUAAAGAAGAUGUACUCAAUUGGCACCCUUAUAAUCGUGUAUUGAAUUUUUCGUAUCAAUGAAACAUUGCUAUCGUUUCUUAAAAAAAAAAAAAAAAAUAACAAAAAAAAAAAAUUCAUUAUCACAUUAACCCACCUCGAGUAAGUGGAUAGAAAAUCACAAACAAUUCUCGAAUUCAACUAACAAACCCUAAUAAUUAUUGCCCAGCUAGGAUUGAGAAUAAACUAAUAAUUAGGUUGAUAAUUGCAUAGGUGGUGGCCAAGAAAUGAAUGUUUAGACUUAGUUUGGUUGUCACCCGGAUUUGAUGGAGAUUUGAAUCAUCGAAGGACAAUGAAUCUCCCCGGCGAACAUGCACUUACAACUCUUCCUAUAUAAAUAAAUAUUCUCUCAUCAACUUCUUAUCAAACAAGAAAGAAAAAAAAUUUAGUAGUGUUGUGAUAUUAAUAAUCGUACAUGUGUGAUUAUAUAAAUCAUUAGAUGAUUUCCAAUGAGGAGCUUUAUAUGAGACUGAAAAAGUGGUGAAUAUAGCAUUUUUAGAGCUCCGAGGAAUCUUUGGGGUUUUAUAAAAGAAUAUCUCCCAAUGAAGGGAUCUUAUAACUAAAUUGUAAUGCCUUUGCAAUUUAGGUAUGUUGUUUGUUUAUGUUUUCGGUUUAGGUCUCUAAACUUCCAUGUCAUUUUAAUAUGUAGUGUGUUUUUAUUUAGAAAUUUAUAAAAGUAAGCUCUUUUAGUAGAACAUCUUAUAUCAUUUAAGUCUUAAGCAUUAAACAUACAAAUAAAUUGGAGGACCUUUGGAAUAAAAAUAUGUAAAGAAAAAUAAUUAAAAAGAAUAAAAUGAGAGUAUAAGUGUAUUCACAAGUGGAGAGACUGAGAUAAUUUGGCUCACAUAGGUAACUACUUUUCUUGUGGGACCCAUUAUUUUUUGGGGCUAGAUGUAGCCUAAUUUUUUUCUACCCAAGGAAAGAAGUUGCUACCCAAGGAAAGAAGUUGCUAGCCAAGUGAUGGAUCUAUCCCCAUUUUUCGUCUCAUUGGGGAUGACAUUUCUCUUGAGGGCUUCAAAUGUAGUAGCUUCAUGAAGGAUAAAGUCCCCAUUGGAGAUGCUCUUACGGCGCGUUUACUAAUCCAUCAUCAAAUUGAGAGUAAUUGAAUUGAGGAGGAAUUAGAUUGAGGAGAAAUUGAAAUGAGAUGGAAUUAGAAUCAGAUACCUGUUGAAGUUGUUUACUAAAACUAUCUGGAAUUGGAGUAGGAAUGAUGUUGAGUCCAUAUAAGUUGUUUACUAAUUCACUUCAACCGGAAUGAAAACUCAGUUGAUUACUAUAUUGCCCUUACAUAAAUAAAUUAUUUCCACACUAAUUAAUUAAAUUAAAUU
rnacentral:lncRNA from 1 species